GACGAGGGAUCCUAGCGUUGUUCGGAAUCAUUGGGCGUAAGCGGAUGUAGGUGGCUUUGUAAGUCAGAUGUGAAAGCCCCGGGCUCAACCCGGGAAGUGCAUUUGAUACUGCGAAGCUUGAGUGCUAGAGAGGUUACUAGAAUACCUGGUGUAGUGGUGAAAUACGUAGAUAUCAGGUGGAAUACCGGAGGCGAAGGCGGGUAACCAGCUAGACACUGACACUCAGAUCCGAAAGUGUGGGAUCAAACAGG
rnacentral:rRNA from 1 species